UACGUAGGUCCCGAGCGUUGUCCGGAUUUACUGGGCGUAAAGGGCGCGUAGGCGGAUAUUUAAGUCAGGGGUGAAAUCCCAGGGCUCAACCCUGGAACUGCCUUUGAUACUGGAUACCUAGAGUAUGGAAGAGGUGAGUGGAAUUCCGAGUGUAGAGGUGAAAUUCGUAGAUAUUCGGAGGAACACCAGUGGCGAAGGCGGCUCACUGGUCCAUUACUGACGCUGAGGUGCGAAAGCGUGGGGAGCAAACAGG
rnacentral:rRNA from 1 species